GAUCGACCGCUCGGCGCUCGGCUGAGGAGCCUGGGAGACGCGCGAUCCCCGCUCGCAGAUUUAAGUGAACGGCGCUUGAGGCGGCCCCGCCUCCUUCCGGGAGCCGGAGGCGCGUGCAAGCCGCUUGCCCCGCCUGAACCGCGUGUCCACGCAGACUAUAAGUUCCGUGAAGACAGAAACCAGUCUCAUUCCAGCUCUUAAGAAGGUACUUGGGACAUAGAAUAUGCCCCAAAACUAUUUGUUGAAGGAAGAAAGGAAAGAAGAACAGAAAGAAAGAAAUACCAUAUUACGAACCUUAAUUGGAAUGAACAUUUGAUGAAGUGAAAUUGAUCCAACUAUAAACAACUGCAAGUAAUUGACCUUCAAUUUCAUUUCAUUUUUGGUAAGAGAGGAAAAUAAAUGAACUUAUUUUCUCAGUAGAGAAAGGAGAAAUUUAGAAAGAGGAGAUUGGAAGCAGAGGUCAAAAUUUAUGGACUUUACUACACUUCUUGUUUUAACUCAUUUGCUUAAUAUGGAGUGAACAAAAGAGUUCCAACCUAAGAUUCUGAGAUAAUUUCCUCCUGCCACUACAGAUACAGCCAACUCUGCUUAGUACAAUUUAUCAUGUUUUUGGAAACUUGUUUUAAUAAUGGUGACUGAAAGUAGCAACUUUGGGCGUAAUGUAUAAUAUAAUGAAAAAUUACUGCCUGUUCUUUUUAUGUUAACUUCGUGCAGUUUUUAUUUCCCAAGUAGAGCUUUUCCUUGGUUUCCUGCUUUUUGAUUAAUAAAAACACUGUGAGUAU